rfam:Streptomyces sp. Ncost-T6T-2b genome assembly, contig: Ga0115255_12332
CUUGACGGAGCCGAGCCACAGCGGCCGCUCCCCCGGGCGGUCGGCGCCGUAGGUCGCGAGCAGCGCCUGGGCCUC